GUGCUACUUUUUAUCAGGUGGACUGUCAACUUGUUUGCCAUAAGCCGUAGCACAAAAAAUAGUUUCAAUAGCUUUCUGUGAUUCAUAUUGUAAUAUAUUAAUUCAACUACUUAGUGAUUAUAAUACAUCAAAACUAAAUGAAAAGAUUGGUCUAACAUCACAAACCACCAAAACCACGAAACGUCUAGAAAAACAUCGAGGUCUCCAAAUACGUAUGAGGCAGCCUUGUGACCGGCUUUUUUCGUUAAACCUUCAUUAUUUAAAUGGACUUCAGCAGUUGCAGAUCAGUAGUCUUCACCUGAUUCUACGAGUAUCAACAAUCAACAACUAAAACGCCCAAAAUGCCCGCACCUUGUGAGCCCUGCAAAGACUCGUGCAAGAAUGGCGCCAACUGCAAAGACGGCUGCACUUGUCAAGCCGAUUGUACCGAUUGUUCCACUAAACAAGGUGGUUGUUGCUGAACAUUUUCAACCAUGAAGUGCUUUCUUCUCCAUUUACUGGCGCAUGGAUAAUGUUAAUCAAAGAUAGUUUUAUGAAAUAAAUACAAUAUUUAAAAUAUA